UAGAUAAAAAGACACGUACAAGGUGUCAUCGAGCUGCGUUUGAAAACAGCGAGAGACAAAUCUAAUCUUGGAUAAAAGAAAACAAAAAAAAAACUGAAAAGGGAUCAGCAGUGACACAGCAGAGGCAUGGACAGUGGAUCGAAGCUGACAGAGUUCGAGCGAGGCAUGGUGAUCGGCUGCAUCCGGGCAGGCAAACAAGUCAAAGACAUUAUCAAGGCUGGAGGCCUGCCAAAGGCUGCGGCGCUGAAGUUUGCAGCGGAUGUUGAGAAGGGAAUUGUUGAUAGUGAAACAGGACUGUACAAGUCAACCAGAAUUGAGGAUCUGGAGCCUAAAGAAAACACGAAGUGAAAUGGAGAAAACAACAACAUAAUAUACUGAUGAUCUACUUUUUGUGGAAUUAUGAAGUGACCAGU